rnacentral:rRNA from 1 species
UACAGAGGUCUCAAGCGUUGUUCGGAUUCAUUGGGCGUAAAGGGCGCGUAGGCGGCUCGCUAAGUCGGGGUGUGAAAACUCUGGGCUCAACCCAGAGCCUGCAUUCGAAACUGACGGGCUAGAGUUCUGGAGGGGAAAGCGGAAUUCCUGGUGUAGCAGUGAAAUGCGUAGAUAUCAGGAGGAACACCGGUGGCGAAGGCGGCUUUCUGGACAGAAACUGACGCUGGAUGCGCGAAAGCUAGGGGAGCAAACAGG